rnacentral:rRNA from 1 species
GAGAAAUAGCUACCACUUCUACGGAGGGCAGCAGGCGCGCAAAUUGCCCAAUGUCAAAAAAAACGAUGAGGCAGCGAAAAGAAAUAGGCCUCCCAGUUACCUCACGGUAAUUGGGAGUUUACAAUGGGGGAUAUUUAAACCCAUCCAAAAUCGAGUAACAAUUGGAGGACAAGUCUGGUGCCAGCACCCGCGGUAAUUCCAGCUCCAAAAGCGUAUAUUAACGCUGUUGCUGUUAAAGGGU